UGUUACGCAGACUAAGGGCCUUCUCCUGGGGUGAGGCAGGAUUUGGGGGCCAAAGCCUAGCGAUGCAGGCCGGUUUGAAAGAGCGGUAGCCGGCCUUCGCUCCUGCGGAGUCCUUGGAUAGAUCGAAUCCCCCUCUCUAUACUGGUGGACCCACAGCCCCAGAGGCGAGGUCCUCCCCAGGAGGGAGUUAAACCAUCCCCCAGUAGCCUUUGAUGUAACGUUUUACAGAAAUCUACCUGGAAGAACGGGACAGACAGCCUUCACCCCUGCAUAGCCCUUGAGCAGAAAUGAACAUCCUCCCUUAGGCCCAAAAACUCUUCUAAAGUCAAAUAUUUCAAGUCCAAUAAUGAAAAACAAACAAACAAACAAACAAAAAGACCUUGGACCUGGAGGUGCCCGGAACUUCAUAUGAAGACCAAAAGAGCCAACUAACCAGGGCCCAGAGGGGCUUUCAGAGAUUGAAGCAUCAGCCAAGGACUAUGCAUGGACUGGACCUAGGCCCCCUACACAGAUGUAGCUGAUAGGCAGCUCUGGCUUCAUGUGGGUUUCCUAGUAAGGCGGCUCACAUGUGGACGCCGGAAGGCAACUUUGCAGAGUCAGUUCUUUCCUUCCACCUUCGUGUGGGACUCAAGUCACUGGCAUUGCACAUGUUUUUGCCUACAUGUAGGUAUCUUCACCACAUGAAUGCCUGGUGCCUAGGGAGGUCAGAAGGCAUUGAACAUCCUGGAAUAGAAGUUAUGGAUGGAUGCUAACUACCAUGUGGGUGCCGGGAACUGAACCCAGGUCCUCUGCAAGAGCAAUGAUGGAAAACCUCAUGAAGUUAAGCGUCUUCUUGGAAACAUUGAAAAGAAACAAAAGCAAACCAGUGAGCUGGUAGAGUGGGCAAAGGUGCUUGCUGAGAGACGGGGUAACCAGGACCUCCAUGGUGAAAACUGAUUUCCUCAAGUUGCCCUUUGAACCCCACAUGCCCACCUCCCCACUUAAAUAAAUAAUAAAGAAAGAAAGAAAG